rnacentral:rRNA from 1 species
GAUGAACGCUAGCGGCAGGCUUAAUACAUGCAAGUCGAGGGACAGCACAGGUAGCAAUACUGGGUGGUAACCGGCAAACGGGUGCGGAACACGUACACAACCUUCCUUUAAGUGGGGGAUAGCCCAGAGAAAUUUGGAUUAAUACCCCGUAAUAUAGUUGAAUGGCAUCAUUUGAUUAUUAUAGCUUCGGCGCUUAAUGAUGGGUGUGCGGCUGAUUAGAUAGUUGGCGGGGUAACGGCCCACCAAGUCUACGAUCAGUGGCUGAUGUGAGAGCAUGAUCAGCCACACGGGCACUGAGACACGGGCCCGACUCCUACGGGAGGCAGCAGUAAGGAAUAUUGGUCAAUGGACGCAAGUCUGAACCAGCCAUGCCGCGUGAAGGAUUAAGGUCCUCUGGAUUGUAAACUUCUUUUAUUUGGGACGAAAAAGGGCCUUUCUAGGUCAACUGACGGUACCAGAUGAAUAAGCACCGGCUAACUCCGUGCCAGCCGCCGCAGUAACAC